UACCAAGGCGCUUGAGAGAACUCGGGUGAAGGAACUAGGCAAAAUGGUGCCGUAACUUCGGGAGAAGGCACGCUGACACGUAGGUGAAGUGAUUUACUCACGGAGCUGAAGUCAGUCGAAGAUACCAGCUGGCUGCAACUGUUUAUUAAAAACACAGCACUGUGCAAACACGAAAGUGGACGUAUACGGUGUGACGCCUGC
rnacentral:rRNA from 1 species